AUUGAACGCUGGCGGCAGGCCUAACACAUGCAAGUCGAACGAGUGGCGGACGGGUGCGUAAUGUCUGGGAAAAUGCCCGAUGGAGGGGGAUAACUACUGGAAACGGAAGCUAAUACAGCAUACCAUGGGAUGUGCCCAGAUGGGAUUAGCUAGUAGGUGGGGUACCGGCUCACCUAGGCGACGAUCCCUAGCUGGUCUGAGAGGAUGACCAGCCACACUGGAACUGAGACACGGUCCAGACUCCUACGGGAGGCAGCAGUGGGGAAUAUUGCACAAUGGGCGCAAGCCUGAUGCAGCCAUGCCGCGUGUAUGAAGAAGGCCUUCGGGUUGUAAAGUACUUUCAGCGAGGAGGCGUUACUCGCAGAAGAAGCACCGGCUAACUCCGUGCCAGCAGCCGCGGUAAUAC
rnacentral:rRNA from 1 species